rnacentral:rRNA from 1 species
GAUGAACGCUAGCGGCAGGCUUAACACAUGCAAGUCGAGGGGUAUAGGGAGCUUGCUUCCUAGAGACCGGCGCACGGGUGCGUAACGCGUAUGCAAUCUACCUUUUGCAGAGGGAUAGCCCAGAGAAAUUUGGAUUAAUACCUCAUAGUAUGUGAGAAUGGCAUCAUUUUCACAUUAAAGUCACAACGGCAAAAGAUGAGCAUGCGUCCCAUUAGCUUGUUGGUAAGGUAACGGCUUACCAAGGCAACGAUGGGUAGGGGUCCUGAGAGGGAGAUCCCCCACACUGGUACUGAGACACGGACCAGACUCCUACGGGAGGCAGCAGUGAGGAAUAUUGGACAAAUGGGCGCAAGCCUGAUCCAGCCAUGCCGCGUGCAGGAUGACGGUCCUAUGGAUUGUAAACUGCUUUUUGUACAGGAAGAAACACUCCGACGUGUCGGAGCUUGACGGUACUGUAAGAAUAAGGAUCGGCUAAC